GCUACACAUGCAGUCGAGCGGUAACAGGUGUAGCAAUACAUGCUGACGAGCGGCGGACGGGUGAGUAACGCUUGGGAAUCUGCCUGUUAGUGGGGGACAACCCGGGGAAACUCGGGCUAAUACCGCAUACGCACUACGGUGGAAAGCCGGGGACCGCAAGGCCUGGCGCUAACAGAUGAGCCCAAGUCGGAUUAGCUAGUUGGUAGGGUAACGGCCUACCAAGGCGACGAUCCGUAACUGGUCUGAGAGGACGACCAGUCACACCGGAACUGAGACACGGUCCGGACUCCUACGGGAGGCAGCAGUGGGGAAUAUUGGACAAUGGGGGAAACCCUGAUCCAGCGACGCCGCGUGGGUGAAGAAGGCCUGCGGGUUGUAAAGCCCUUUCGGUUGGGAAGAAAAGUUGCGACCUAACACGUCGCGACCUUGACGUAACCAACUAAAGAAGCACCGGCUAACUCUGUGCCAGCAGCCGCGGUAAUACAGAGGGUGCGAGCGUUAAUCGGAAUUACUGGGCGUAAAGCGCGCGUAGGCGGCUUUGUAAGUCGGUUGUGAAAUCCCCGGGCUUAACCUGGGAACUGCAUCCGAGACUGCAUAGCUAGAGUAUGGGAGAGGGAAGUGGAAUUUCAGGUGUAGCGGUGAAAUGCGUAGAUAUCUGAAGGAACAUCAGUGGCGAAAGCGACUUCCUGGACCAAUACUGACGCUCAUGUGCGAAAGCGUGGGGAGCAAACAGGAUUAG
rnacentral:rRNA from 1 species